rnacentral:rRNA from 1 species
UACGUAGGGGGCAAGCGUUGUCCGGAUUUAUUGGGCGUAAAGAGCGUGUAGGCGGCCAUGCAGGUCCGUUGUGAAAACUCGAGGCUCAACCUCGAGACGCCGAUGGAAACCGCAUGGCUAGAGUCCGGAAGAGGAGAGUGGAAUUCCCGGUGUAGCGGUGAAAUGCGCAGAUAUCGGGAAGAACACCCGUGGCGAGGGCGGCUCUCGUGGGACGGUACUGGACGCUGAGACGGCGAAAGCGUGGGGAGCGAACAGG